CAGCCCUGGUUUCGUGCCUUCGCCAUUAUUUUCGAAGCCCUGGUCACACGUACGAACUAAACCAAUAUCGACGCGCUGCUCGGUUUAAAUUGGUUUUUAAAAUUUCAAUUGUGCAAUAAACGAUAAAAAAAGGCACACUGCUAUCGUGAUUUUAAUUGGGGCCUACUUUCAAACCCUACAACUCUCAAUUUGGCAAACGCGUAAAGGGCGCGAUCGAAAGAAACAGUAAUCUGGGAGAUAUGGAAAACGCUGAUGCGACUUCCCAGUCGGAUCCCCAAAUAGACUACAAAACCCCCAAGAAGACCCACUCGCUGAUCGACAGUGAGCAGUUGCUAGACAAGAUCAACAUCCUUACCACCAAGCCGGAGAACCAUUCGCAAAAUGCAAAGCUGCCCACGAUCAAGGACUUUGUCAUCAUCAAGCCAAUCAGCCGGGGAGCCUUCGGCAAGGUCUUCCUGGGCUACAAGAACAAUGACUCGAACAAGCUGUUCGCCAUCAAGGUGAUGCGCAAGUCGGAGAUGAUCAACAAGAACAUGGUCUCCCAGGUGAUCACCGAGAGGAACGCCCUCGCCCUGUCGCGCUCCCAGUUCUGUGUGAGCCUGUUCUACUCCCUGCAGUCGCUGUCCUACGUUUACCUGGUGAUGGAGUACAUGGUCGGGGGCGAUCUCAAGUCCCUGCUGGCCAUGUACGGAUAUUUCGACGAGGCCACUGCCCGCUUCUAUGUGGCCGAAAUGGUAAUGGCGCUGCAGUACCUCCACCAGCACGGCAUCGUCCACCGAGACAUCAAGCCCGACAACAUGCUCUUGUCGGCCACGGGCCAUGUCAAGCUGACAGACUUUGGGCUGAGCAAGAUCGACAUGCGAAGGGACUUGGAAAUCUCAGACUUAAUCAACUGUUCGCCAAACCUAAAUGCCCGGACACCAGGCCAGCUCCUGUCGCUCACCUCGCACUUGUCGUUCGGUUCGGAGAAGAAGUUGCAGGACUAUGGCUCCGCCCUGCCAGGACACAUCGUGGCUGGCCUGGGAGGCACUGCCAUGGUCACUGGCACCGGCACUUCCCACCUCCUCCAGGCCAUCAACAAGCACAGUCUGAUCAUGGAGCUCUCCGACAGCGAGGGCGACACUUCGCUAAAUGAUGCGGAGAAGACGAGCGACAGCAAGAUCUCCGGAGUCUCCCCCUUUUUCUCUGCCGAGGAGGUUAACGAUUCCAUUACCCACACGUGCACCACCAAUAUUAAUCCGCAGGACAGCAGCUCGUCGUGCUCGUUCCACACUUGCAACUCGGCUGAUCUGAGCAAGUGCUCGCCGCCGUUGGAAUCCGCUGGACCAGGAGUCGCGGCUACGGAAGCUGCUCCCACCAAGCGGCGCGUAGAGUUUGCUUUGGACCCAGUUCCCUGCCAGGGCUGCAAGAUGGCCGAGCAGGACAGCAGCAACAACUUGGCCGCCAAAGGUAGCAAGCAUUUUCCAAAGCUGGAGAAUGCAAACGAGGCCUCGUUUGAGUUUUCCAUGGUACGCAGGCGAUCCCUCGACGAGCGGAAUCGCUUGUUGAAAGGUCAGGAGGACUCCGGCGUGUCCAGUCGCAAGGGCGAUGACAACUCCAGUUGCCACCUGAACUUGAACAGCGAGAGCACCGCCUCGUCGAUUGAGAACAAGGCUGAAAACCUGAGUCAGUCCAAGGAGGACUUCAGCUGCUCGGACUACUCCCGCAGUUACAAUAUGACCAAUGGAAACGAGAUGAGUGGCAUCCACAUGAACUCGCCUUUUCGAAAUCUGUCCAAGCACUUUAAGCGCCCCGACUUCCUGCGCGGCAUUAAGCGAAAGAUCAAUCUGGUCAACCGUUCCGACAACAUGUCCAGCCUGGAGGCCGAUGGCUCCAGCUCGGGCAAUGGCAGCCAGAACACCGGUCUCACCCAGGAGAUCGAAAUCCUGAACAUCGGCAGCAGUACGCCAAAGAAGCGAAAGGCUCGCUCGUCGCCGAUUCGGGGAGUCCUUAAGGUUCGCUCCCUCUCUGACGACGAGCUGCCCAUGAAUCAGUUGCUGUGCCCGGAGGCAAAUGUGGCCAAUGUGGUCUUCUCAACGCCGGUGUCGUCCCAAAAGCUGCCCCGGCGCGAUGGGGGCUUGCUGGGGAAACUGAAGGCUACCCGAUUUGCACUGCCUUUGUCAAUUGAAAAUAAGAAGCGGGAGCACGCGGCCGUUGAGAAGAUGUCUGGCGUGCACUACCACCUCAAGCUGGCCGACGACCCCACCAUGUCUCCCAUUAACCACGGCGCUGGUAAUCUGCCCAAGACUCCAAAGAACAUGAAUAUUAACACGCCGUUCCGCACGCCGAAGUCUGUGAGGAGGGGUGCGCGUAUCUCCAAUGAACGCAUCAUGGGAACGCCGGAUUACCUUGCCCCCGAGCUGCUGCUGAAGCAAGGCCAUGGCCCCGCCGUGGAUUGGUGGGCACUGGGAGUGUGCUUUUACGAGUUCAUGACCGGCAUUCCACCCUUCAACGAUGAGACGCCUCAAAAAGUAUUUGACAACAUUCUGAAUAAAAACAUUGAAUGGCCCGAAGGCGAUGAGGCGCUAUCUGCUGAAGCCAUGGAGGCUGUGGAACUGCUGCUAACCAUGGAUCCCGCGGAGCGACCUGCUGCCAAGGAGGUGCAACAAAUGCAGCACUUUGCGGACAUUGAUUGGGAGAACAUUGGCAACACGGAGCCACCGUUUGUGCCCACGCCUGACAACCCGACGGAUACGGGCUACUUCGAGGCUCGCAACAAUCUGCAGCACCUGCAGCUAUCAAACUUUGCCGUGGAAGACUGAUUAGCGCUCGAACGGAGCCCGGCUGCGCCCGCUUUUCCCAGCCCUGUUAUUUAUUUACGUUUUAAUGAUUAAUGUCCAAUAAUGUCUAAGAGUAGGCCCAAAGUUCACCUGUUGUUGUUCGUUUAGCCUCAUUUCAUCCAUCUUUGCCACAUAUUGUAAAGGAGAUAUAUUAUUUCGGUACUGAUUUCAAGUGUUAUAGCCAUACGCUACAAGUCGCUUCAAGGCACGACCUAGAUAAGUGUGUUCAAUAAAUGCAUAGUCCAAAAGAUGAAACCCAUUCAGAAUGUAAUAAUUUAUGUAAUAAGAUCAACUGAAACCGUGUCAAUCGAAAAUAUAUUUGGAACUGACAUAUUCAUA